rnacentral:tRNA from 1 species
CCCUGGUGGCUCAGAUGGUAAAGAGUCUGCCUGCAAUGCAGGAGACCCAGGUUCGAUCCCUGGAUCAGGAA